AACGAACGCUGGCGGCAGGCUUAAUACAUGCAAGUCGAGCGGGCACUUCGGUGUCAGCGGCGCACGGGUGCGUAACGCGUGGGAACAUGCCCUUAGGUACGGAACAACACAGGGAAACUUGUGCUAAUAGCGUAUAAUAUCUCCGGAUCAAAGAUUUAUCGCCUAAGGAUUGGCCCGCGUUAGAUUAGGUAGUUGGUGGGGUAAUGGCCUACCAAGCCGACGAUCUAUAGCGGGUCUGAGAGGAUGAUCAGCCACACUGGAACUGAGACACGGUCCAGACUCCUACGGGAGGAAGCAGUAAGGAAUAUUGGACAAUGGGCGAAAGCCUGAUCCAGCCAUGCCGCGUGAGUGAUGAAGGCCUUAGGGUUGUAAAGCUCUUUUAGAUGGGAAGAUAAUGACUGUACCAUCAGAAUAAGCCCCGGCUAAAUUCGUGCCAGCAGCCGCCGUAA
rnacentral:rRNA from 1 species